UACGAAGGGUGCAAACGUUGCUCGGAAUUAUUGGGCGUAAAGCGCACGUAGGCGGCUCGGCAAGUCGGAUGUGAAAUCCCUCGGCUCAACCAAGGAAGUGCAUCCGAAACUGCAGAGCUUGAGUACUUAAGAGGAUCGCGGAAUUCCCGGUGUAGAGGUGAAAUUCGUAGAUAUCGGGAGGAACACCAGUUGCGAAGGCGACUCUCUGGGCAAUUCCUGACACUGAGGCACGAAGGCCAGGGGAGCAAACGGG
rnacentral:rRNA from 1 species